UUNUGAACUGGGUGACUAGAGUGUNUCAGAGGGAGGUAGAAUUCCACGUGUAGCAGUGAAAUGCGUAGAGAUGUGGAGGAAUACCGAUGGNGAAGGCAGCCUCCUGGGAUAACACUGACGUUCAUGCCCGAAAGCGUGGGUAGCAAACAGGAUUAGAUACCCUGGUAGUCCACGCCNUAAACGAUGUCGAUUAGCUGUUGGGCAGCAUGACUGCUUAGUAGCGAAGCUAACGCGUGAAAUCGACCGCCUGGGGAGUACGGUCGCAAGAUUAAAACUCAAAGGAAUUGACGGGGACCCGCACAAGCGGUGGAUGAUGUGGAUUAAUUCGAUGCAACGCGAAGAACCUUACCUGGUCUUGACAUGUACGGAACCCUCCAGAGACGGAGGGGUGCCUUCGGGAGCCGUAACACAGGUGCUGCAUGGCUGUCGUCAGCUCGUGUCGUGAGAUGUUGGGUUAAGUCCCGCAACGAGCGCAACCCUUGUCAUUAGUUGCCAUCAUUAAGUUGGGCACUCUAAUGAGACUGCCGGUGACAAGCCGGAGGAAGGUGGGGAUGACGUCAAGUCCUCAUGGCCCUUAUGACCAGGGCUUCACACGUCAUACAAUGGUCGGUACAGAGGGUAGCCAAGCCGCGAGGUGGAGCCAAUCUCACAAAACCGAUCGUAGUCCGGAUUGCACUCUGCAACUCGAGUGCAUGAAGUCGGAAUCGCUAGUAAUCGCAGGUCAGCAUACUGCGGUGAAUACGUUCCCGGGUCUUGUACA
rnacentral:rRNA from 1 species